UACGUAGGGGGCUAGCGUUGUCCGGAAUUACUGGGCGUAAAGCGCGCGUAGGCGGCUGGAUAAGUCGAUUGUGAAAGCCCCGGGCUCAACCUGGGAAUUGCAGUCGAGACUGUUCGGCUAGAGUGUGGGAGAGGGUGGUGGAAUUCCCGGUGUAGCGGUGAAAUGCGUAGAUAUCGGGAGGAACAUCAGUGGCGAAGGCGACCACCUGGCUCAACACUGACGCUGAGGUGCGAAAGCGUGGGUAGCAAACAGG
rnacentral:rRNA from 1 species